rnacentral:rRNA from 1 species
AGUCGUAACAAGGUUUCCGUAGGUGAACCUGCGGAAGGAUCAUUACCGAGUUAGGGUCUUCUAGGCCCGAUCUCCCAACCCUGUGUUUACUCAACCUUUUGUUGCUUCGGCGAGCCCGUCCCCCAAAGGGACCGCCGGAGGACCGUCUACACGUCCUCUGGCCCGUGUGUUGCCGACGGCCCCAAUCCAAAACCCAUGAACCAAACUUGAAUUGACUGAGUACCACAUUUAAUCAAAACAAACUUUCAACAACGGAUCUCUUGGUUUCUGGCAUCGAUGAAGAACGCAGCGAAAUGCGAUAAGUAAUGCGAAUUGCAGAAUUCCAGUGAGUCAUCGAAUCUUUGAACGCACAUUGCGCCCUUUGGCAUUCCGAAGGGCAUGCCUGUUCGAGCGUCAUUAUCACCUCUCAAGCCCCCUGGUUUGGCCUUGGACGGCUGGUCGGGCGACGCCCGACCCCUCCUAAAGACAACGACGGCGGCUUUGUCUGACCCCCGGUACACUGAGCUUCUUAACCGAGCACGUGCCGGAACGAGGGUCGGCGGGCCACGGUCUUCU